rnacentral:rRNA from 1 species
UACAGAGGUCUCAAGCGUUGUUCGGAUUCAUUGGGCGUAAAGGGUGCGUAGGUGGCGAGGUUAGUCAGGUGUGAAAUCUCGGGGCUCAACCCCGAAACUGCACUUGAUACUGCCUUGCUAGAGUACUGGAGAGGAGAUUGGAAUUUACGGUGUAGCAGUGAAAUGCGUAGAUAUCGUAAGGAAGACCAGUGGCGAAGGCGAAUCUCUGGACAGUUACUGACACUGAGGCACGAAGGCCAGGGGAGCAAACGGGG